CCAUACUAAACUGAAAAGAAAAAAAAAACUAUAAUAAUGAUGAUGUUGAUGAUGAUAAACGCUCAACAACUUGGGGGUGAGUUGAGGCAGAAAACAGGAGGAGGACCACAUGAGUAAUAAUCAAAGGGAUUGCGAACCGCACAGCAGAAUCGAGAUCUACUAAUUUGUACGGAGCAGAGAACCUGGAAUUGACAAUGGAUAGCCAAAAUGUAGGAAUCAGGAUCCUAAAGCAAGUCUACGACUACGCAUGCACACAAUUCUCUAACGGCUUUAUUUUUUUGGUUAAUUCCUUAUGGGUUGGCAAGGGCAUCAUCA
rnacentral:lncRNA from 1 species